rnacentral:misc_RNA from 1 species
CGAAUCAACGGCCUCACGGCCAAUGCUGGAAGGCGGCCGCGGGAUCUCCCCGCGGCCCCUGACGGUUUAACCCCCUGUGAAAAACCUUUGUUGCUUCGGCAGCGCUUUCCCGUCCGCGGGGAGGAUCAGUCUGCCGGUGGCACCCAUCAGAAACUCUUUUUUGAACUUGUAUAACAAACGUCUGAGAGCGCAGUCGAAUGACACAUA